rnacentral:rRNA from 1 species
UACGUAGGGUGCGAGCGUUGUCCGGAAUUACUGGGCGUAAAGAGCUCGUAGGUGGUUUGUCGCGUUGUUCGUGAAAUCUCACGGCUUAACUGUGAGCGUGCGGGCGAUACGGGCAGACUGGAGUACUGCAGGGGAGACUGGAAUUCCUGGUGUAGCGGUGGAAUGCGCAGAUAUCAGGAGGAACACCGGUGGCGAAGGCGGGUCUCUGGGCAGUAACUGACGCUGGAGGAGCGAAAGCGUGGGGAGCGAACAGG